GGGGAAUAUUGCGCAAUGGGGGAAACCCUGACGCAGCAACGCCGCGUGAGUGAUGAAGGUCUUCGGAUUGUAAAGCUCUGUCUUUGGGGACGAAAGAAAUGACGGUACCCAAGGAGGAAGCCACGGCUAACUACGUGCCAGCAGCCGCGGUAAUACGUAGGUGGCAAGCGUUGUCCGGAAUUACUGGGCGUAAAGGGUGCGUAGGCGGUAUGUUAAGUCAGAUGUGAAAUUCCGGAGCUUAACUUCGGAAUUGCAUUUGAAACUGGCAUGCUAGAGUGCAGGAGAGGGAAGCGGAAUUCCUAGUGUAGCGGUGAAAUGCGUAGAUAUUAGGAAGAACACCAGUGGCGAAGGCGGCUUUCUGGACUGUAACUGACGCUGAUGCACGAAAGCGUGGGGAGCAAAC
rnacentral:rRNA from 1 species